rnacentral:rRNA from 1 species
AUUGAACGCUGGCGGCAGGCUUAACACAUGCAAGUCGAGCGAGCGGCGGACGGGUGAGUAAUGUCUGGGAAACUGCCUGAUGGAGGGGGAUAACUACUGGAAACGGUAGCUAAUACCGCAUACCAUCAACUGUGCCCAGAUGGGAUGAGCUAGUGGGUGGGGUAAUGGCUAACCAGGGCGACGAUCCCUAGCUGGUCUGAGAGGAUGACCGGCCACACUGGAACGGAGACACGGCCCAGACUCCUACGGGAGGCAGCAGUGGGGAAUAUUGCACAAGGGGCGAAAGCCUGAUGAAGCCAGGCCGCGUGGGUGAAGAAGGCCUUCGGGUUGUAAAGCACUUUCAGCGAGGAGGCGUUACUCGCAGAAGAAGCACCGGCUAACUCCGUGCCAGCCGCCGCGGUAAUUC